rnacentral:misc_RNA from 1 species
AUUCCGUAGGUGAACCUGCGGAAGGAUCAUUAUCGAGUCCUGACUGGGUUGUAGCUGGCCUUCCGAGGCAUGUGCACGCCCUGCUCAUCCACUCUACACCUGUGCACUUACUGUGGGUAUCAGAUCGUGAAGCGUGCUCUUUUACCGGAGCUUGUGAAGCGUGUCUGUGCCUGCGUUUAUCACAAACACUAUAAAGUAUCAGAAUGUGUAUUACGAUGUAACGCAUCUAUAUACAACUUUCAGCAACGGAUCUCUUGGCUCUC